rnacentral:rRNA from 1 species
ACUCCUACGGGAGGCAGCAGUGGGGAAUAUUGCACAAUGGGGGAAACCCUGAUGCAGCCAUGCCGCGUGGACGAUGAAGGCCUUAGGGUUGUAAAGUCCUUUCAGCUGGGAAGAUAAUGACGUUACCUACAGAAGAAGCACCGGCUAACUCCGUGCCAGCAGCCGCGGUAAUACGGAGGGUGCGAGCGUUAAUCGGAAUUACUGGGCGUAAAGCGCAUGCAGGUGGUUUGUUAAGUCAGAUGUGAAAGCCCGGGGCUCAACCUCGGAAUAGCAUUUGAAACUGGCAGACUAGAGUACUGUAGAGGGGGUAGAAUUUCAGGUGUAGCGGUGAAAUGCGUAGAGAUCUGAAGGAAUACCAGUGGCGAAGGCGGCCCCCUGGACAAAGACUGACGCUCAGAUGCGAAAGCGUGGGGAGCAAACAGGAUUAGAUACCCUGGUAGACUGUC